CGACUGGCGGCGCACAUAAGACAUGCAAGUCGAACGGAAGUCGUUAUAAAAAGGAUUGAAGAUUUAUCUGAUUGAGAUUUUAUAACAAUGGCUUUAGUGCGGACUGGUGAGUAACGCGUGAGCAACCUGCCUACUAGAGGGGAAUAACAGUGAGAAAUCAUUGCUAAUACCGCAUAUGCCAUGAACAUCACAUGAUGAAAAUGGGAAAAGAGUAAUCUGCUAGUAGAUGGGCUCGCGUCUGAUUAGAUAGUUGGUGGGGUAACGGCCUACCAAGUCGACGAUCAGUAGCCGGACUGAGAGGUUGAACGGCCACAUUGGGACUGAGAUACGGCCCAGACUCCUACGGGAGGCAGCAGUCGGGAAUAUUGCGCAAUGGAGGAAACUCUGACGCAGUGACGCCGCGUAUAGGAAGAAGGUUUUCGGAUUGUAAACUAUUGUCGUUAGGGAAGAUACAAGACAGUACCUAAGGAGGAAGCUCCGGCUAACUACGUG
rnacentral:rRNA from 1 species